UAAGUAAAGUCUUGUAUUCUAGGCAAAG
rnacentral:sRNA from 1 species